AAAAAAAGGCCAAAUUUCAGUAGCUCUCGGCCCCGCACUUUCGGGGUAAAAAAAAAAAAACCCCAAAACACAUCAGCUUUCUCUCUCACUAUCAUUCGAAGAAGCAUCGUCACAAUCAUUUGAAAUUCUAUAAUCUCAGUUUCAAUGAAGACGAAGAGGCUUGGUUUAAAUAUCGGCUUUCAUCAUGCAUUUUCAGGUUUAAUUUCAGUUAAUCUGACCAAAUUUGAUGGAUUUGUUCCCUAAUUUCAUGAAUGUCAGCUAUCACUUUCAUUCGAUCGAAGAAGCUUUCACUUUCGUUUGAAAUUUUUUAUCUCGAUCGGUUUCACUGCAAAGGAAGAGGUUUGGUUUUAAUCUCGCUUUUAUUCAAGAAUUUCAUGUUUGUAUGUGUUUAAUCGCACCAAAGUUGAUGUGUUUCUCCUCUAAUUUAUGGUUAGGGAUCUAAUUUAUGCCUCUUGAUGUAAAAAAUUUAGAUUUGGGCUUUGAUUAUUUGAUUAAUAAUUUUGUAGCGUUUGGAUACUGUUGAACAGAGUGAAUUAAUCCACAUCAAGUAUGUAUUGGAACUAUUAGGCUGAAACCAGAUGGCUUCUGUUUACUAAGCAAUACAAGAAUUGAGUUAUAAUUAGGUCUGUUUACUAACUUAUCUGUACUAUCAUCUUUUUUAAUUCAUUCUUUAAGCUAAAUUAGGGUAUUAGAAACAGAGCUGGGAAAGAAAUUAGUACCUGCAUUCAUUUUAGUGGAUCUUGGACCAGCUUGUUCAUUCAUCUACAACUAUUAGAGUUGCACAACUCCGUUCAUAUGCCCCCAGUGUUGGCCACAGCUGUCUUGUGUGCAUGUAAUUUAGAGAAUAAAUAAAUUUAAGUGUAGACUAAUAUUUCUUUUCUUUUAUGAUAUGUCCAAUGAACCACAUUUUUCAAUUAUACUUUUUUUUCCUCCCCUCAAAAAUACAUAUCCUUCCUAGUACUUUUCCAAUGGAUCUCAUUUGUUUUCUCCCUAAUACAUUUUUUGCAGUUAGAGGUGCCUCAAAAGCAAUUACUCAAGGAGAGAUGUGCUUUGGCAUGGAUUAUGUUGGAUAUUUAGUCUUUUUCUUAUGGAACUAAUGACACAUCUAUUUUAUUACAAUGCCUUUCCAAUUGGAUGAGUUUAUCAGAAAGGAUAGGCUUCAUGUUGGGACGUCUUUUGAUCUCCAUUUUUUGUCUAGUAACUAAUUUGUUCAAUAUUUACUUGUGGCAUGUGGGGACUGUCAUCUCCUUUGGAUGUACUCAUCAUUGUAUAUGGUGUAAAUGGUGACCUUCAUUACCUUAAUUUUUUUAUAUGUGGAUUCGAGGCUUCUUACGUGCUUAUGUGAAUCUUUUUUUAGCACGAUCAUUUCAUAAAUGUUACUCUAUGGCUUCCAGAAUUUCUGAAGAUUUUUUCAUGGAAUAUUCUAUGUUUUACCUUUCAAGGGGUUAAAAGUGAGAAAUGAAUUAAUUGGACUCUGGAAAUUGGUGUAGCUAUUCUGUGGCCUAGUAGCUCUUAAAAUUUUACAAAACUCCCUUUCCUUGUUAUUUGAUUCCCUCUCAUAUUUGGUAUGCUGAAUUACAGGUCUAUCAAUGGAAUCUUAGAUUAUAUGUUAUGUGGUUUUCAGAUGUGCCUAUAUUGUACUUAGAUGGUAUUAUGAGCAAAUUGCUAGUGCUACUUCAGGUAUAUUGUCAGAACAAUCAACACCCGACUUAUAAUACAUACGUUUAUAUCAGAUUUACUGUAAUGAACGAACAAUGCCUUCCUCUAAAUUUUUCAUUUUUGGUGCCAGAAUGGAAAACAAAUAGUGCAAGAAGGUGUAUUAAUUGCCUUGGCAUCAGUUGCUGACUCAUCUCAGGUAUUCUAUAAAAUAUGCUUUGAUUAGAAGCUAUUACUUAUAGAAACCUGUCUGACAGGAUGAUCUUUUUUGGAGUAGCUACUCGGAUGGAAACUUCUUUAAAAAGGGAAAAAAAAAAUUAGGGAAGCAAAGUUUAUGUUGAAUUAAAAGAAAAGGUAUCUACAAAAGUGAACAAUCCGUCGCUCCUUAUAAUACCAGCUUCGGCAUUUGAAGUUCUCUCUCUCUCUUUUUUUUUUUUUUUUUUGGGUUGAAAAGAAUAUUUCUAGAUACAUAUAAUGCUCUUUACUGUCUGUUCACCUAAUAUUUAACUCAUUUUGAAGGCUCUAGAUUUUAUUAAUGAGAAACCAGGAGUCCGUCCUUGUAUUGAUUACCACAACAGCUGUUGAUUGCUGUGGUUUGUCUUUAACACAAGAACUUAAAAUUGUGAGUUUCAUUUUAUCCAAAAGCCUAACUUUCAAUGUUUUCAGACUAACCAUCCUUUCUCCACUAAAUCAGAAAACAUAUGAUCAGUAAUGAACUUAGAGAUUCAGUAUCUUAAUUUAGUGUAAGUAGCCCUACUAUAUAACAAAUUCAGUCUUCGGAUUCUGCAAUUCAAUUUUUCUUGAUAAGUUUACUUUUUUUUUUCUUUUUUCUCCUCAAAAUGUAACUAAUUUUCUUUAUCUUCAACUUUCUUCAAUGCUCAGGAACUAGUGAAACCAAAGUAUUUGAUGAGAGCAGCUCACUGGGAAGUGAUUACUUGACUGAGGUAAGAGCCUGAUUUCUAUAAACAGUACAAAAGGCCUUUGCGGAUGACUUGCACAGAUUUUAAAAUAGUCGCAACGUAAAUAUAGAUUUAUUGCCAUUUAGAUUUUUAGACUUUUAAGAAGCAAAUAAAUAAUUAAUUAAAGAAAGUAGUUUUAUCAGACAAAAUUCAUAUUAUCCUUAAAAUUCAAAAAUCAUCAUAAAAAAUUAAGUUUCUCUCGCCCUCUCUUACUCUCAGUCUUGUUCAACCCUUCGCCUCUCAGCCUUGCUCGAUAGUAAUUUAUUGAUUUCAGUUUUAGGUAAGCUCUGUCACUGCAAACUUUUGGUCAUGUGAAUUUUUGUUAUUGCAUAGAUCUUAAUUGGUCAAAUUGAAGGGGAGAAAGUUGCUGAUCGCAAAGCUGAUUCUGAAAGCACUUCUUCACUUUUUCAGUAUGAUUUUACAGAUUCAGUAUGUAAUUGAAGUUCUAAAGCAAUGAUUUAGAGUAUUUAGAUGAAUGGUUUAAAUUAAUCCAUCAAAGUUGUGGUUUAUACACAUGCAUCAUCAUGGGAACAUCUAAUUAGAUAAUAGAUUUUUACUUUUUAUCCUUCUUGUCUAUUUUAAAUAUGUGUGUGUGUGUGUGUGUGUGUGUAAAAAUAUAGGAAAAUUCUCAUGCGUGGAUGUCCGCACAAAAUGCAUGAAUUUUCAUGUGGAUUUAGGUGGUGAAAGCCUUUUACACCGGCAUGAAACCCCAAGUCCGUACAAAAAUACAUGCAAGCAUUUUAUAUAUAUAUAUAUAUAUAUAUAUAUAGUUAGGAGACUGCAUGAGGAAUACAACUCUUUGUUCAAAGUUGUAUUAGUCUGCAAUUCAGAAGUAGGCAAAUUGAAAUUACUUUCCUGAUUACUUGUAACGGGUUCUGUUCAGAGUCCAAUUCUACUAGUGGCGUCAAAUUCACCAUCUCUACUCUUCAAAUGACUAUUUGUCUUACUCUAUGCUUCAUCUUAGUUACAGUAAUUAGUUAAUUAAUUUUUUAAGAUCUAGUAAAAGUAAUUAGUUUUAUCUAAUUUUUAACUGGAUUUCCAGAUUAGGUUAAUUUAGAUUCAUGUGAAUUGGGAGUGAUUCAAUUUUUUAUCUGAUUUCACUGUUGAUGCAUAAUUACUAUUAGUAUGAUGAUUGAUUUGUGAUUUUAACUUAUAAUUUGGUUAUUGAUUUAGUUUAUACAAGAUGUAAUUGGAUCUAUCAUUGUGAGAUUGUAAUUCACAUGAAAUGACCUUUUUUUUUAAUUUAAAGUUGAAUGCUUUUUGAGUUUUUUGAAAAAGAAUGCUUUAUAAUUUUAAUCUGAAUAUUUUGGGUCACGAUUUAAAUGAUUAAUUUUAUGUGGUAAGUGAAGUAGCAGUGCCAAAUUGUAGACAGCUACAUAUUGGGGUGAAAGUUUGGGAUUUCAAUUAUACAUUUUAGAUGUAAUUUAUUCAUCAAGUUAAAAUCGUGCACUGGCAAAUUUUGUCAUUGAAUUGGAUAAUUAGAUCAGCAUUUGAUGUUUACUUGUGUAUGUGAGUAAGGCUGUUCUCUGUAUGUUGGAGUUGGUGAUGCAAGUUGAAACUAACCUGAUGUCGACUCUUGGCAUGUUAGAGUUGAAUUGGAAUUGCAAUUAAUUCAUUAAGAGUAACUUAUUAGAAAAUGGGGUUUUCUCAUUGAAUUAGAUAAUUAGAUCGGCAUUCGAUGUUUACUUGGAUAUGUGAGUAGGACUGUUCUCCAUACGUUAAAUCAGGUUGGAAAAAUUAUUUACUGAAUUGUUAUGGGUGCAAUUCAUGUGUUGAAACAUUGAAGAGUUUUAGCCAUUAUGUUACUAUCCUGUGGUUUUCUAAGGUACAAGAGACAUUAAAAAAAAAAAAAAACAUAAUAUCUUAAUCACUUCUAGUAAUCCUACAAGUGCACAUGACUUUGUGGGUUUUGAAUUCAAGGAACAAAAUAGUAAGUCUAGUGCGUAAUAUUUGAAAACACAUGUAAAAUGGAUUGAAUUGCUGUAAGAUCUGUCCAAAUUAAACAGUGUAAACUAAUUUACAGGCUUGUGGGAACUAAGAAUUUUUUUUUUUUUUCCUAGCAACUUCAGAGUCAUUGAAAAUUGGAAAUUUUGUCCAAAAGCAGCUUUUUGUUGUAUGAUUAAAGAGAAAUCUGAGAUUUCAGGUUGAAGGAAGGACAAUAAAAGCGCAGAUAUGGGACACUGCAGGCCAGGAGCAAUACAGAGCAGUAAUGACUGCCUAUUAUAGGUGCGCACUGGGAGUGCUCUUUUAGUUUAUGAUGUGAGAAAAUCAGCAUUUGUAGACGUGAGCCGGUGGCUGAAGAAUCUGAGGGACCAAGCAGACUCCAACAUCGUGAUCUUGAUGAUCAGCAUUGUGAUCUUUUAUUUAAUUUUUGUUAACAACAUUGUAUUUGAAUUAUUCUCCUCAUUGUUGUUGCUGACUUGAGAUAUCAGAAUUAUUUUGUUAUGGCAGUGUGCGCUAGCAAUGUUACAGCUUACUCUGGUUUUUAGUGUAUAGUAUACUGCUUCAGUUGGAUUCUCUACUACAAGGCAAUGAAGUUAGCUUUAACAUUUUCUGAGGUCAUUUUUGUAUAUUGAUUUGACAAAAAUGGUAUUUUCCUUGUGUGUUUGCCUCGAACAAUUGCAAUUUUCUAGUUAUAAUGUUUUUGAAACAACAUCCAAAUAGCGUUAAAUAUCUUUUGCUAUACAAAAGUCUCUCUCAGUUUGCUAUUAUUAUUAUUCUUUUUAAAGUUCAUUGCAUUAUUAUGACCAUUACAUAGUUUGUUAUAGCAAGUUCGGAUGCUGCACUACUUCAUUUGUGGAAACAGACUUUUAUUUAUUUAUUUUUUAGAAAAAGAAGAAUAAAAAAAAUACUAUGGCAACUUACUUGGCUCCAAGUAUAAUAUUAAUAAAGAAAUAUAUAUUGAGUGUGAUGCCACGUUGCAAUGGAAAAUUGUUACCAAUAAUUAAUGGAAAAUGAUAUGAAAGAAAAAAAUCGUACCUGAUGAAGUCAUGAAGCAUCAUCACAUCCUUAAGCUUUAAGACAAUAAUAGUCGUGUAAAUUGGGGACCCGCAAAGCCGUCGAGUAAAUUUGCUUAACGUGAUUUGAAGUUAUACAUAAUUGAUAAUUUCAAAAGAAAUGAAAAAGAAUAAUCGAAAAAUCAAUAUGCACUUCUAUCUUGCCACCACUCACCCUCUCGACUAAAUGUUGAACUUUCAUGGCUCUAAGCUCCCAUCAAGAAUUAGAAAUUCACAAAUCCAACCUUUAUUAUCUCAUCAAUACAACCUUUAUAAGCCGUGGCCCGUGGGGUCAAUUGCAUAUAUAUAUAUAUAUUUUGGCUGAACGGUCAAUUCCAUUUUACUUCUGACGUAACAAGCACUCCCAUUCCCACACACCAUUACUUAUUCACAAGUUUACAUUCAUUUGGCUUUUGAGUCCUGUGGUGCUAAUUUUUGAAGAUACUCUUUCUAAACUGAGCGACCAAUUUCUUUUAUGCUAAAUGUAUCGAGUGAUGCAGAAGAAGAAGAAGAAGAAGAAGAAGAGUUGCAUUCCGAAGCCAAUAUGAUGCAAAUAAGCUGCCCUCGCCAUCAUCACCUUCAACCGGCAGCACUUUAAUCCUUCAAGGCAUAUACAUGCCCUUUUCUUACAGUUUGUAGUCAUUAUGAGCUAAAUUUUCAACACAUACAUUCAGUUAUUUCUUUAUAUCAAUAUAUUGAUGAGUCUAAGUUUAAUUAAACUCAAAUUUUAAACUUUUGAAAGUAGAGGUUGAAAAGCUUUUUCAAAAUAUUAAAAUUUUUAAAAUAUUCUUCACUUUUUCAAUAAUUUUAUUACAUUCUUUUCAUAGCAUAACUUUUAAAAAAUUGAUUAUUAAAGUAAUUUUAUAGUUUUUAAUAAAAACUCUCAUUAACAAUCAAACAACUGUAAUUUUUUUCUUUGUAAAAACUUUACCACAAAAAAAAAAAAUAAACUCUACUCAAAAUCGUACCUCAUGAAGACAUGAAGCAUCGUCACAUCCUAGCACCUCUUUAAUUAAAACUCUUAUGAAACCCCCACAUAUUAUAUGUAUAGCUCUUAUAAUUAAAUAUUAAACAUAAUAUUUUAAAAUAAAAAUUCUUAUCAUUAUAUAAUUUAUUAUUUUAUUGUCCCAAAAUUAUUUUCAUUUUAAAAUGAUUAUUUAUAUCAUUUACAUAUGGGAGGGUUCAUGUUUUUUAAGUAUAAAAAUGUUUUAAUUAAGUUAAAUUUAUAUUUGUCCUUCUAUGUAAUUUUCCUCUAGCAAUAGAGCUACAAUUACAAAAUGAGGGGUAUUAAUCCUAUAAGUAAUUUAAGAGGCUGUGAAAAGCACUACUCUAAUAUUAUCUUCAUUAAAUUUCACAAAGAUAGUAACUUUUAUGGUUCUACCACCCCUCGAAUUUUCUUAUAAAGCCUUUCUUUUAUAUUUAUGAUUUCACCUUAGUAAGACCACAUAAAACAACAAAUUCAGUUUGAUUUUUUUUUAACCUCUUUCUUUUGUAUAAUUUUAACUAGGGUUGGGCAAAAUCGGAUUCGGAUCGGGUUCAGUUCAACCCGAUCGGAUUUCUGGUUGGUCGGGUUAGAAAUAAAUCCAUCCGAAUUCAAUCCAAACUUGUAAUCCGAUCUGAUCCGAUCCGAAUAUAUAUUCGGAUCGGGUCAAAAAAUUGGGUUGAGUUGGGGUCGGAUCGAAUUCGGAUUAAAAACGGUUUGAACUGGAAAAUGAAAAAUUUAUGCCCAUCAUUGGAAAAAAAUACAUUACAGCUUUCUUUAUCAUUGAUUUUUCUUUAUCAUUAGCUGGUGAACAUUAAAAUUUUACAAUUUAUAUAUGAUAAUAAUCACAACAUCAAGAAAAACCAUCAAAAUUUCAAAACACAAGGCUCAGGUUGCGGGUUGGAGAAGUCGGGUUGCUGAGUUGAAGUGGAGCUUGGAGGCGAAAAACUUGGUGAUGGACGGAAGCAUAGAUCUGGUGGUUGUGUCUGCAAAUAAUCAUCGGUUCUUGUGCUGCGUCUUUGAGUGACCAUCGGUUUGCUUUUGUGACUGAAACCCGAUCUGUGAAACCUGAUUGUGUGAGAAAUCGAUUUGUGAAAACUGAAGAGUGAAGACUUAAAAAGAAGAAAGCGAGGGUGUGAAGAUUUAAGGGUGAAAACUGGAGAAGAACCAAAGAAGAGAGUGAAGCGUGAGGCUGUGAAGUGUGAGUAAAAGGUUGUUUAUUGCGAUUUUUUGUGGGUGGGGGGUGGGUGGUGGGUGUGUGUCAGUGAGUUUGAGUGUGUCAGUGUUGAGUGUUUCGCCCCUUUGUGUGUGGGUGUUUUAUUUUUAUUUUUUAUUUUUUUUCAAUAGCCAAAUCCGAUCGGAUUUUCGGAUCGGAUCGGGUUUCGACGAUCCGAUCGGGUUAUGUUAAAAAUCCGAUCCGAUCCGAACCCGAUUAUUUUCGGAUCGGGUCGGGUUAUUUGCCCAGCCCUAAUUUUAACCAUGGUUAAAAUAGUUAAGAUAAAAGGAUUUAAAAUAUUAAAUGAUGGAACGAAGGGAAAAGUAUCCAAAUCACGGGGACAAAAGAGUGUUGCCCCAUACAGACUAAUUAAGAACGAUCCAUCAUCAAAAAAUGAUAGAGAAAGCGGGGCUAAGAAGUAUACACUGCAACUGUAUACUACUUUGACGUAAAACUUUAUUAUGGAAAUUAAGUAAUUAUAUCUUAUUUUGAUGGUUUUGCAGUUUGGAAAGUUUGCAAUCAUUAUCGGCACCAUACCACACAUUAUUUCUAUUUCUAAUUCCAUUGCUUGUCGAAAUUAUUGAGAUUAAUAAUAUUCAAGAUGAAAAGAAAAAUGUUGAUCGAAACAAAUCCAAUUAGUAUGUGCCUGUUUCUGUUGGCUCUACUCAUCUACGUCUUUGCCUUUUUUGUUGCCAUGAAAUCGAACCAUCAAAUAUUCAAGGCAAUUGCUGUUAUCUCAGGAUCUCUUUGUUCAGCCUCGUUGGUCUCCAUUAUUCUACCACACCCAUAUGGACAUUUUAGUUUCAUUAUGUGGGCUUUUGUUCUUCUUCUUGUUGCUUAUAACAGGAGGCUUUAUAAGAAGAUUUGGUAAUUUUGGAAUAGAUUUGGAGAAAACAACCAACUACAAUUGCCAAUAUAGCUCGAUCGCCUGCUAGGUGUGGAUGAAUUAAAACUUUUACAUGCAAAGUACCAAAAAUCAUUAAGUGCUAUUAUAGUUUAUUCACAUACACAUCUCUUAUAGUUCUUAGCUUGACCAAAUUAUGAUUUUAAUUAUCAAAAGAAGAUCUUGUACCAAUCUAAAACAUCAAGUUAGUGUUAAAUUGAUCAAUUUAUCUUAUAUUGAAGAUUUUGUUUUUUCAUUUACUUACCACAUUUAUCGUGAUGCAUUGAUUUAGGAAAAAUAAUCAAAAUCCUUGGUUGUUUAAGAAAAAAUUCAUUAACUUUAAUUUCAAAUAUUUGUUGUAUUUUUUUAACUUUUAAUGUGAUAAAUCUACCAUUAAACAAUGAAAAAAAUCUAGAUAUACUGGUUAAAACACACCCAAAAAAAAAAGUUCACAAUUUUAUUUUUUACAACAUGAGUAUUCCAAUGAAUUGUGAGAGAGGAAUUGAUUAAUUUCUACAAACCGAAUGAGGUUUAAUAACACAUAUUUCAAAAGGUAUUUAUUAAUAAAAGUAUAAAUAAAAUACAUCACUUCAAAAAAGAAAAAAAAAUGAAAAGCAAAAUUACCAUUUGGCUGAGGAGUAUAUGCUGUUGCGUGAUCAAAUUUAUUUUUUAUUUUCCCCCACCUUGUCGAAGCUGGUACUAAAACUAACCAGUAAAAUUAAAAAAUAAUAAAUUGGCUGUACUAAGCUAAAUGCAUAAAUCAAUUAAGCAUUUUUUUUUUCAAAAAGAAAAUUAUAUAUGCAGACACGCACAUGUGGAUGACAGCGGCGGUGGCCAAGAAGCAGCCAGAGUGGCAGCGGCGGCAGCUGUGACGAUUGUGGCAGCGACCAUGAUUGUGUUUGUAAUAUAUUUGCCUUCUCUUAUUUCUCUCUCUCUCUGCAUUACAAUAAAAAUUAUCGUAAAUAAUACGCCAGAGAAGGGGGAGGAAGCACAUGAGAUGAGAAUGGCCCCAUGAUAUGAUAGUGGACUUGAGCAAAGUCGCUGGUGCCUUUUGAAUUUUGAUGCCGCAAUUUUUAUAUUUUUUUUUUGUGUGGAAAUUUCUCAUUUACAUGUGGCAAUUACAUAAUUAAUUUAACAAUACUUUAAGAAAAAUGAUGCAUGCACAAUAAUUUUAUAAGAGAUAGAAAAAUAUUUUGUAGUGAAGUUUUCUUUUGUUAUGCAGUUAAUUUUUUUUUAUUCUAUAGUGAUCGUGUAUGGUUGUUUGUACUAUCUGUUGUGCACAUGUUAAUAUAUAUAUAUAUAUAUUAAUUUAAUUGUAACAUUUGGCCUAAAACAUUGAUUUAGGGAAAAUAAUCAAAAUCCUUGGCUGUUUAAGAAAAAAAAAACUAUUAAUUUUAAUUUCAAAAUUUUGUUGUAUUUUUUUAUUAUUUUACCUUUGAUGUGAUAAAAUCCACCAAUAAUGAAGGAAAGAUUCUGGGAUAUAUUAGUUAAAAAACAAAAAAAAAGAAAGAUAAAAGUUCACAUAAGUUUUUUUUUUUCUUUUAACAACAUGAGUAUUUUGAUGAAUUGUGAGAGAGAAUUGAUUAUUUUUUACAAGAAAAAUAUGGGUAUUAAUCAUUUUCAUGAUUUAUCACCUAUGUGCAAAGUACAAAUAAGAAUACAACAAUAUAACAAUGAAAAGAAAAUUACUAUUUGGCUGAGGAGUAUUAUGCUGUUGCAUGAUCAAUAUUUUUGGGCUCAUUCUCUCUCUUUGUUUUUUACAAUAAAAAAUUAAAAAAAUAAUAUAAAAAAAUCACAGGAAAAUCAAGGAAAUCUAAACCUUAUCCUCAUGACACCACAUCAGAAACAGCACUUACCCAUUCCUAUGUUACAUGUAUACAGGUUGAAGUUGUCAUCUCUGAGUCCAACGCAAUAUUCAUCCAAUUGAUUUUUGGAGACACCAAAACAAGUCUCGAGCACUUGAUAGGAAUUUGCCCAUCUGGUCAACGCAAUAUUCUAUAAAUUGGAUGUAUAGAUGAUCGAAAAGAAACUCCAGCGACUAGGCCCCAAAUAUAGCUUUCUGUCACGGGACGAGAGGUUACGAACCCGUGCGGCACUCCCGCAUCCCAUACUACGAGAGUAAGCCUAGUGGAAGUGGCACAAUGUCGACUGGUUUCGCCCUGCCUCGGGCUCGUCAGGAGAACGGCUUCAGUUCCCAACCAGUGUGCGUCAGGAUUUUCCUAGACCCCACUUCAACGUUAAGUCCUCGACUAGCGACAAGCUCCCCAAACUCAACCGGGUCGGCCUGCCUGAACUCCAAAGAGUCUAGGGCAUUGUAUUCCCCACACACACAUUCCUGAAGCACGUCUCCAACAAUCAGCACAACCAUCAUCGACACUAGCGUACCAGCGCAUAUCUUGGGUGCCACGAUUGCGGUCCGUGACAUUCUCCCACCGCCAUAACCACGCACGUCCUCGUGCAUGCAGAGUACGCCUCGCAAAUGUGCACUUCCGCGCGAAAACGUGAAGAUCGCCUUGCCAAUCUCAACCCAUGAACUCCCUGCCUACUCGUCCUCAAUCCGUGGAGAGGACCCGCGUGCAGACACCAUCCACUCGGUGCGAACGCUUGGGGGUGUGAGAACCCGCCUGUUCGUCCCGCUUGUCGACCCUUGCUUCCAAAAGGGUGGGGACCCGCGUGGUGCGGCAUUGGAGCGCUUGGCGAGCUCGCGACGAGGGCUUCGAGAGAUGACAAGCGCGGCUCUGAUACCAUUUUGUCACGGGACGAGAGGUUACGAACCCGUGCGGCACUCCCGCAUCCCAUACUACGAGAGUAAGCCUAGUGGAAGUGGCACAACGUCGACUGGUUUCGCCCUGCCUUGGGCUCGUCAGGAGAACGGCUUCAGUUCCCAACCAGUGUGCGUCAGGAUUUUCCUAUACCCCACUUCAACGUUAAGUCCUCGACUAGCGACAAGCUCCCCAAACUCAACCGGGUCGGCCUGCCUGAACUCCAAAGAGUCUAGGGCAUUGUAUUCCCCACACACACAUUCCUGAAGCACAUCUCCAACAAUCAGCACAACCAUCAUCGACACUAGCGUACCAGCGCAUAUCUUGGGUGCCACGAUUGCGGUCCGUGACAUUAUGGUCAAGUAAGAAACGCGAAAAAAGAUGACAAAAGUAAUUAAGUUCCAUACGAAUCAAAGAAAGAACUGCAUUUAUUGAAAAUUAAUGCUGAAGAGGGGUCUAGGAAAAUCCUGACGCACACUGGUUGGGAACUGAAGCCGUUCUCCUGACGAGCCCGAGGCAGGGCGAAACCAGUCGACAUUGUGCCACUUCCUCUAGGCUUACUCUCGUAGUAUGGGAUGCGGGAGUGCCGCACGGGCUCGUAACCUCUCGUCCCGUGACAAUAAGCUUAGUUAUGAGCAUUCUGUGAUCUAGAGAGCAAGGGCUAGGAGCUUGAUGGUGCCAUGUUAGAAUAGUGUUAUGAGGUUUGUUCAUGCAUUAACAAUUGAUCUUGAUGUAGGCAAAUUUUUAAACCCAGUGAGUGUAUAAGUUUCUCUUCUUUUGGGUUUUGUAGAAUUAUUCAUUUUUCUCCUUAAUUCCCUUUAUCAUGCUCUGCCAUAACAGAGAAACAUGGCAGAGCAUUAUGAAUAUUAUUAUUUAAUAAUAAUAAUAAUAAUCAUUCUAAUCGAAAGAAUGAUUGAUAGAUGAUUAAUCAACAUUGCUUAAUCAAGAAAUAACACAAAAAUAUCAAAGAAACAAUAUUGAACUAGGCAAAAUGAUCAAUUACAAAAAGGCCGCAUAAAAGAACACAACACAGGCAGGAAAAAAUAAUCAUCCUUACUCUUCUUAAAAUGAGUUUAUCUUAAAUUAAAAAUAGAAUCAUAUGUCAUCUGAACAAAAAUUCUGCAGUUCAUAAAUAUAUCAAAGACUCUACACAAUCACUCAACGCAAGUUUUUUACACCAGGAUGUUCUGACUUUCAGUCACCAGAGCUGGGUUAUAAGUUGGUUGACAGAGCAAUUCCGGCACUUGUAACUUGGAGUUAAGAGAGUUUCUAAUAUUGACUCAGUGUAAAGUUUGCAAAAAGGUCUAUUGAUCUGGGUCUUUUUCUCUUACAUAGGAAGCUUUCCUCCUGAUUGUUAAAAUUAAUAUGGCAGCAUAUGUUCUUGUUUAUAUUUAUAUCCUAAGGGAGUGGGGAGUAACAAUUAUUUCUUAAAUAACUUUUGAUGGUUUUGCAGUAAUGACAAUUUCAUUUCCUCAAUUUCAUAUCAAAAAAUUUUUGGAUAUCUCAUCCCGACCUUGGUCGCUGUCAUGAGUGCGAAUGUGCAAGGCACAAAUGAGCCGUUGAUGGAAACUCGUAGAGUAAGCUUGUGUGUUUCUCUGGUGGCCAUAAUCUUCUACUACAUUGCAUUUGCUGCCGAUAACAUAUCUCGACGCUAUCAAGCAAAAUUUUCGCUACAUUGCAUUUGCUGCCGAUAACAUAUCUCGACGCUAUCAAGCAAAAUUUUCGCAGCUAUGUGGCCCUAUUGCUCUUAUCUUUGGAUCUCUUUCAGUAGCGUCGUUGGUCUCCACAUUUUUCACACAGUUGCUGAAGUCAUUUGCUAUGUUGCAUUGGGUUGCUCUGGCAGCACUGCUAUUAUCAUGGUUGCAUACCAAUACGGCAGAAAAAUUAUGGAUGCUUGUCAUUGGCUUUACCACAAAAUUUUGAGGCCAUCUUUCUGCAAGAUAUUGAAUUGGUUUAAAGCUCAUUAUAACAACAACCCUUCGCCAGAGCAGCAGCAACGUCCGGCAGUGUAAUUGAAGAAGUUUAAUCUUUGUUUUAAAUUGCAUCCAAGACUUUUCACUGACAGGUUCCACUUAUGUUUCCAGAUUUCCAUAGAUUAAAAUAAAUACCUGCUGUUGCAAACAAAUAAGCUCUGUUUUGUUUUUUUGUUGUUAUUUUCACUCUCUGUUUCAGCUUUUCAUUGGUUCAUGAUCUUCGGUUUCCUUUUAGUUUCUUGGCUGCUUCACUUCUUUAUGCCUUUUCACUGAUAGAUUCCACUUAUGUUUCCAGAUUUCCAUAGAUUAAAAUAGAUACCUACUGUUGCAAACAAAUAAGCUCUGUUUUUUUUGUUGUUAUUUUUACUCUCUGUGUCAGCUUUUCAUUGGUUCAUGAUCUUCGGUUUCCUUUUAGUUUCUUGGCUGCUUCACCGCUUUAUGCCUUCACGACGGCUUGACUUCUUUAUGACUUCUUGAUUGCUUCCUUUCUCUAAGGCUUCUUGGCUGCUUCUUUCUUCCAGCUUUUUAAUGCUCUGUUUCUUUUUCUUCUUUGUUGCUUGAUCUUAAGGCUUCUUUUAAGUUCUGCCUCCUUUUGUCUUUCUUUUUCCUCUUGGUCCUCCUCUGUUCGAGUUCUUUGAUUUCUUUCUUGCCUUGGCUUUCAUGAACUGAAUUCUCGUUGCUGCUCUUCUCUGUUAUUUGCUGUUGCUGCUGUUCUCUGUUAUGGGCACUUGCCGAUUCCUUGCUGCCCCUCUCUUGGCCCCCUUUUACUGUCAUAAUCUUGCCCCUUUUAUAGAUAAUUUUGUGCUUAUCUAUUACAGGUGUCAAUACAAGUUACACAUGCCCAACACCUUGACUCUCCAGCACAGUAGGCUUAUAUUUCAUUAAUUCAUUAACAAUACCCAAUAAUAUGCAGCUUUUAAUUCAAUAAUAUACAGUUUUUUAUAGUGCGUUCAUAUCGGAUUAUUAGAUGCAUUGUUUUAUUAUUAUUAUAAAAUAUCAAUAUAUGUAUUGCACUUGUAUUUUCCUGACGAAUUAGAGACUUGAUAUCAGCUGCAAAGGCAAAGCAGUAGAUUGUUUUAUUGUUAUUAUAAAAUAUAAAUAUAUGUGUACCAACUAAGUGUUGGCUCCAUUAGCAAUGGAGUCUCCUUAAGUGGCUUGACUGGGUUUGCUACUCAGUUCGAAUUGCAGGGAAGUCGCCUUUGUUGUGAGAACCUGUGCCUCCCGGUUCGAGCGGGGACUUCUAAUCUGAGUUAUGGUACGGGUUUAAAGGUGCCUCCCACACUUGGGGCCCUCCCCAAAAUACCUCAUGGUUAAGACAAAAAAAAAUAUAAAUAUAUGUGCGUUAAUAUCGGACUCUUAAUCAUGCUGAAAUUGUCUCAACAACCAGCUGAUAAUAAACCCAGAUUGCACCAGAUUCAGCCACGUGGAUAGCGGUUUGCAACGACGCUGAUUCCAGCUCCUCACAUGCUUCCUCAUGUGAACCACUUAAGUCAUGGUUAAAACGGCUUUCGAGGCUGUCGUUUUAAGGCCUAUGAAACUUAAGUCAAUCACGUGUACAGCUCGUGAUCAACUAACUCAAACCCCUUUGCUUAAAACGCUGCCGUUCCUUAUGUAUAAGUUUUGAAUUCAGCAUUUAGUCCAUACUAAUAGGGAAUAUGUUGUUGUUUCGGAUAAUUUUUAUGAUAGAAUAUUUUUAAUUGUCUCACCACCUCAUUUUUUAAACAUGUUUUUAUCUAAACCUUUUGAAGGUACUUAUUUUAUUUUUAUUAUUUUAGGAAAUUCGAAAUCCAAUUCAUAUCCUCGAUUUUUUUGGCCGUUUUCAAAUACUGGCAGUUUUCCUUAAAAAAAAAAAGUUAAAAAUAAUAAUGCUUUGAAGGCAUAAAUUAUCAAACUUUCAACCACUUAAAAAAAAAAAGUUAACAAUAAUAAUAAUUUGAAGGCAUAAAUUAUCCAAGGAAAUAGGAUUAAUUUUAAAAGUCAAAGUCCAUAUUCAUCUUUACUUCUUAUCAAGCAGGAGAAUUGUUGUUUUCCCUCUACGAAAAUGACUAUUUGCCACUAAACCCAUUCUAUUUUUAUAACGUCUGGUAACUUGCUUGACAUCAUAAUUUUAGAUUAUUAUUCUCAUUUCUAAAUACGUUUUUAUUCAUUUUUUUAUAAGUUUGAUAAAUCUGAAAUUAAAAUUUAAAAAAUGUUACACAUUAAAAAUAAGAAAAAUUCUUAUUCUUAUUUUUUUAUUUAUUCUAAUCUAUUUCUUUUUAUUAUUUAUUUAAUUUUUUACAUAUAAACUAAAAUGAUAUUAAUUAAAAAUAAUAAAUAGAAACUUUAAAAUAAUUUCUACUUUAAAUACAUAUUUGCUUUUCACAUAGAUUGUAAGAUAUACCAAAUGAUCACUGUAUAACAAACAAAAAUAUUAUAUUAGUAAUGUUCCAAUGAGGGAUUCCUUUAACUAUUAAAUUAAGGGAUAAAUUAAAAGAUAAGUAAAACAUACGCGUCAAUGCAACGUAUUUUAUUAUGUAAUGGAUUAAAGUGCAUGUUUUUCUUUAUUUUUAACUUAUCCUUAACUUAAUAACCUAAAAAAACUCUUUAUUGGAGCAUUACUAAUAUAUGUAUGUAGUAUCAUUCUCUAGUGUAAAUGUCCUCAUAUUUUUCAUAUGGCCAUAUUAGUAAACAGUGCAGUUUAAUAGUGCAUUAAAACAUAACUCUAUUAAAACUUAUAGUUUGCAUUGACUUUAUUAAAUCGCACGGUUUAACAGCAUGUCCACAUUAAAAAAAAUACAUUGUAUAUCUCAUAAAAAAAAAAAAUUAUGUUUGCUAUACCAAUAAAAUUGGAGCAAGCAUCAUGACACUUAUUAAUGUCAGAUUUCUUAGGUUAUUCAAUAAAAUUGGUUUCAAUCUCGCUUUUAUUCAAGAAUUUCAUGUUUGUAUCCGAUUAAUCUCAUCAAAGUUGAUGUGUUUUUCCUCUAACUAAUGGUUAGGGAUGUAAUUUAUGUCUCUUAAUUUAAAAAGUUUAGGUUUGGGCUUUGAUUAUUUGAUUAUUAAUCUUGUAGCCUUUGGAUACUUUCAAUGAGAGUCUAUUAAUCCACAUUAAGUAUGUUGUAUUUGGACUAUUAAGCUGAAACUAGAUGGCUUCUGUUUACUAAGCAAUACAAGAAUUUGAGUUAUAAUUAGGCUAGCUUUAUGGUUGGCUGUAACUAGAUGGGUUCUGUUUACUAACUUAUCUGUGUUAUCGUCUUUAUUAACCCGUUCUUUAAGCUAUAUUAGGGUAUUAGAAACAGAGCUAUGAAAGAAAUUAGCACCUGCAUUCAUUUUAGUGAAGCUUGGACCAGCUUGUUCAUUCUUAUACAACUAUUAGAGUUGCGCAACUCCAUUCAUAUUCCCCCAGUGUUGGCCAUAGCUGUCUUGUGUGCAUGGAAUUUAGAGAAACAAUAAAUUUAAUGUUAGUGAAUUUAUAAUAAAAAGCUAAAUUCACACGAUGUUAAAUUUAUUGUAAAAGAAAACAAUGUUAAUGUUAGUGAAUUUAUAACAAAAAGCUAACCACGCAUGAAACUUAUUUUUAUUUAAUUUUUGUUAACAAUGUUGUAUUUGAAUUAUUCUCCUCGUUGUUGUUGCGACUUGAGAUAUCAGAAUUAUUUUGUUAUGGCAGUGUGCGCUAGCAAUGUUACAGCUUACUCUGGUUUGAGAAUAGAUGUUGAAAAAGUUUUUUUCAGUAUUAAAAUUUCUAAAAUAUUCUUCACUUAUUUAACAAUUUUAUUUCAUUCUUUUCAUAAUAUAACUUUAAAAAAAUUGACUAUUAAAAUAAUUUUAUAAUUUUUAAUAAAAUUUCUCAUUGACAAUCAAACAACUAUUUUUUUUUUUUUUUGUGUGUGAAACCUUUACUUGUAAAAGUUUUACCAAAAAAACUUUAUUUAGAUGAGCUCUAUUUGAAAAGGUUUUACCAAAUGGAGUCUCAAUAAAGUUAUUUAAUAGAUAAAAUAACUUAUUUAAUCCUUAAAAGUUCUUCUUUAAAAUUAAAACAACUAUAAAAAUUUUGAAAAGAACCUAUAAGAUUAAAUAAACAUUUAUAACUAUUAAGUAACUCAUAGCAAAUAGGCACAUAAUUGUAAAAUGAUAAGACUUUAAUAUUUUCAUAGUGAUUUGAUAUUUUGUAAUUCCUGAAAUAGUUAGGCGAUAAUAACUCUUUUUAUAAUUAUAAAAUCAUAUGUUUGCUUGAACAACAAAUUAGAAUUGACAACACUGUUGUAAUGUAAAAAACAUUAGUAAAUUUACUUUCACUACAUACUUCAAUUACAUUACUUUUUGCACUGUUUAGGGUCCUCUGUAGCGGAAUGUGAACAGACCGUUUGUAUGCUUAAAGAUUCGAAUUAGUUGAGUUAAUUAACCCGAGUUAGUUGAUAAGAGAUGUGAUUUCUAUCCACCCCGCCACUGAGUUGAGUCAAAUUAUGGGGAUGUACGAGUGUGACUCUGCCUUUUUCUAUGAGAAAUUGUAACCCCUCUUCCUCAUUUUAUUGCUUCUCUUUCUUCUCUCCCUGCUUUUUUAAACAACCGCACAUUAAUCAUCACGUUUUGCAAAUAUUCUUCAUCCAUCCUUUGACCAACAUCUUGCUCAUCAAUUCAGACGUUAAAACAAUAAUCUUACCAGGUCCACAGUCACUAAUGAUCUAAUAAUUUGAUGAAAUAAAUAGAUAGAGUUUGUUGAAUCAUGCAUGAAUGAUAUAAAUAAAAUAUAACUUUGUUUUUUCCUACUUAAUCAGCGAUGAAAAAUUAUUUUAAAUUCGAAUCUCUUAUAUCUGCAUUUUAUUACGGACUUGCCGUUCUUUGAUGGUAGGAAAUUGAUUGUAUGAAAGAUAAAAAUUAAUUAGAAUUUUGUAUAGUAAAAAAAUUGAUUUUUUGUGUGAAGGUACAAUUCUUUUUGCCCUUCGAACGGGUGUGAUUUUGAUGGUACAAUUAAAGCUUAGCAGCCAUUCGGCCUUUGGCCGAGUGGUCAGGGCUACUGCCCUCCAACUUGGAGAGCAGCAGUUCGAACCCUCACAAAGUAUUUGUGGGGGUAUUUUUUUUCUCAAUUAAAUUUGAGUGAAGGCAGUCUUCUUUCUUACCCAAGUGUGAGGAGUAGACAUUCUUUGAAUAUUUGUGAAGGUUAAAAUCUAGGCAGCGCUCCAUUAGCAUUGAUGUAAGUUGUGUAAGUUGAUCCCAGUAAUAGUCUGAUUUGUAAAUAUCAGUUAUAAUUUCAUGUAAUAUGAGAUGUAAUUUGAGUAAUAGUCUCAUGUAAUAAAAAAAAAAUUAAAGCUUAGCGAGUACACUAAUCAGACAGUAAUCAAUACGUGGAAACUGGCUAAAGUGAGAAAUUCUAUAACUUUACGGAUCAGCUUUAGCCAAUUCCAUUACUUGCAUGUUUUUCCUCUCUCCUCAGGAUACGUGUGCUCUUUCCAUUCGGUGUUAUUCGUCGACUACCGCAGCAACCAUUACUACAAUUACGAUGCGAAUUUGACAUAUAAAAUACCAAAAUUGCACUUGAUUAACUCCAAAAAAUAACAAAAUAAGCAUUAUGUUUUGGUAAUUCAAAAACAUUUUCAUGGUGCCCAUGAGAACUGCGAGUUGAGCACAUGCUCCUGAGCUUGUCGGCUUUGUGCAGAAGAAGAAGAGUUGCAUUCCGAGAUCAAUAUGAUGCAUAUAAGAUGCCCCUGCCAACAUCGACAGAACUUUGAUCCUUCAAGGUUCCCAAGUACACUUUUCUUACAUUUUUAGUUGUUAUGAACUCAAUUUUCAAUGCAUACAGUGUUGGGAAAAUAUGCUCUUUAAAAGCAUAUGUGUUUAUUUAAUUGUAAUAAAUAAUUUUUCUGAUUAAUAAAAUAAAAGAGGUAUUUUAUUCAAAUAUCUUAAUUGCAUUAAUAUUUGUAUUAAAAUCCAUUUAAUCAUAUUAUAUGUAUUUAUGUGAUCACCAUGUGGAUUCACAGAAGACAUAAAUACAAGUUAUCUUAUGAUUAAAUAAAUUUAGUUCGCAGUUGAUAAAUAAAGUUGGGCACUUUAUUUAGGUAUAGACUGUAAUAAAUUCAUUGAAUGAUUUGUCUUAAUCAUGUAUGAAUUUAUUGAUGUAGUACGACUACAUUGAACAGGAUCACAUAUGAGAUUUAAUUAACUUUGUAAUAACUGUCAGACAUAUUAAAUCUCAUAGGCAUUGAUUUUACUGUAAUCUUAAUCUUGAGUUAAUUAUGAUUUCAUGAUUGUAAUUGUUAUUCCAUUUGAGUUACCAAUGGGCACGACACAUCCUUGUGGUCAAUAUUACCCGGUAUCUUGGUGGGAGCAAUUAUGAGUAAUGAAGUUAUGGAUUAACAAUAUAGAAUUUGUACAACACAUCUCUUGAUGGGUUUUCGGCACUUGAUCAUAUAAUUCUCUGGCCAGAGUGUGUCAACAUAUUUAGUAUGUUGAAAAUGAUCAUUAGAGAAAACCAGUAAGGAUCAAGGAAUAAGAUGUUAUUAAAUUGAUUGGACAGUUGAGAUAUCAAUUUAAUUAACGAUGUGGUACAAAGGAUUGUGCAGUAAAGAAAUCAAUGUGGCUUGGGACAAAUUAUUAUUCGAGCAUACAAUUAUGGAAGUCAGUUCCAAUCUUUUAGUGGAGUAGAUUUGGAAUUAAAUAAUUAGGCUAGUUUAAUUAUAGGCCUAAUUAUUGUAGCCACUAUUGUAUGUUCCCAAAUGAUCCCCGGGUUAGCUCAUUUAAUUGACUGCACCACUACUGGACUAAUAAGUAACAUAACUAGCUAUUUGGGUCAAAAGCCUAAAUAUAUCAUUUAGUGGGAGGCUCCAUUUAAUUAGCUUUUGUGUAAGGGGCCUUAUGUUAUUUUACAAGGUGGGUCCCCUAUUGAAAAAGCAAAUAUCGUGGGUUUUAUUUUUUGGGAUUAUUUGGAGCCUAGGGUUUUCACUAAAGGGUGAUAUAAAAGGCUUAUUUUCUCUAUAAAAAAAAAAAGCCACUUUAUACAUAUCAGAGAAUAAAAUUUUUCUCUCUAUUAUUGAGAGAAAAAUUUUCUCGUGCUAGUUGCUUUGGUAGUGAUAAAGGCGUCCAUACGUCAAGUGCAGAUCGAACCUGAGUCAUAACCUGGAAGAUCAUUGGUGACAGUUUGUGAUCUAACAAGCGUGGUGGUGACGGAUCGUGAUCUAAUAGGAGUAGUGGUGGCGGAUCGUGAUCUAGGAGCCUAAAUCACUUCAGCGGAAAAAGCCAACUCGGAUUUUCAAGGUACGAUUUCUAGAAUACAAAUUCUUAUAUAUUAUAUGAGAGCGAUCUUCAAAAGGUUUUAUAAAAAAUUUAAAAACCUAAUUUUUCCCUAACAAUUGGUAUCAGAGCCAUUUCAUAUUAAUAUAUAAGAAUUUCGUAUGAAAUCAAUUUUAAUAUUUAUGCAUUAGAGUGGCACAAUUUAUUCAGAAAUAUAUUAUUUGUGUAAUAUAUGAAUAAAGCAUGUUUUGGUUUGUCUUAAUUCAUGGUUAGAUUUUCUGUUGUAUUUUUCGUUUGGAUCUGUAACAAGAGGGGUGGGUUUUUAUCACCAUAAUUCCCUCUUGAUUUAUUUUACUGUAAUUGAAAUUUUGUAAGCCAAAAUUUGCGUUGAAAAUUUGUAAAUCACUGAAGCAUCAUCACUGGAAAACGAGCUCAAACAAUCGAGGCUGGAAAUUUCAGCAACAAGCGGUCAGCAGCACACGCUGCUGCGCGAGCAGCGCGCGGCCCACGUGGGCAGCAGCGCACGCUGCACGCCCAGCAGUUGCCGCGUGCGCGCUGUGGCUAGCAGCUGCAGCACGCGACCAACAGCUGCAGCGCGCGCGGCCAGAAGCUACAGCAGGAGACAGCGCCACCUGGUGUAGCGUAAGGGAUAAUGGCGUGCAGUUCGCGGGUUCCGUCGAUUGGUGGCUUUCCGGCGUGGCGGCAAUGGUUAAAUCGGCGUCGGACUUGGAUGAACAGUGACUGUUUUUGGAGAUGGCGGCUGGGGAAGAGAGAAAGACAAAUAUGAAUUUAGGGUUUCUUGGUUUUUAUCAUGGUGGUCCCUAUGGUUCCAUAAGUUUUCAUUUGGGCAGAAAAGUUUUUAAUGUUUUGCGUUUAAAUCCAAAAAACAGUUUUGGGUUUAAUGAAUCCUAGUUUUAGGCCCAAUUUCAAUUGGGCUUAAUGGAUUAAAAUGCAUAGAUAAAAUUAAAUACAUUAAAUUUAUUUUUGGUCCAAAAGUUUUAUUUAAUUAUUUAUUUAUUUCCUUUCAAAAUUAAAAUUGGACCAAUUAUAAAUUUAAAAGCUCAAUUUCCCCUAGUCCAUCAACAAAGACAAGCUUAUGGAAGACGAACAUUGACAAGAAGCCCAAUGAAGAUUAGGCUUAGGGUUAAUGUAUUUUUCAUUAUUAGGAAAGCCAUGAAUUAAGAUUAAUUAAUUGUUUUUCUAUAUGUUAUGUUUUGGAUGAUAACAUGCCAUGAUAACAUGUCAUAUAAAAUAGGUAGUGCCACUCUAUGCAUAAUCAUACAUGUCAUUCAUUAAUUAUGAAUUUCAUUAUAUUGUUUGAAAUUUGCCUAUGCUUAAUAAUAUUGGAUAUCAUCUAGAUAAUAUUAUAGGAAGCAUGCAAUUAACAAUAUGUAUGUUUUAAAAAGGAAAAAUCAAUUUUAAAAUAUUGAGUGGGAGAGGGAAAAUUUAAGAUAAUUUUUCCCACGGGCUCCAUUGUUAGUUCAAUAAUAAAAUUAUAUAUAUACCUCGACUUCAUGAUACGGUGAUGCUCCCUACGGAGGGUAUAUAUAUUAGAUAUUUUAUUUGAUGAACUUCUUCAAAGAUAAAAUUGAAAUAUUUUUCAAUCAAUUGUUCGCCCCAACGGUGACUAUUGAUAUGAAAAAUACGUAGAUUGAAACAAUGGUUAUACACUCAACUAAAAUUUGUUAUUAACCUUCCCAACGAAGCUCUGUUAACAAAUUUAGGCUCAGAAUGAUAACGAUAAUUAUUUAUCAUGUCUCUACAUGAAAGUAAAUAAUCUAAUGGAUAAUUGGGUCUAGUAAGUGUAGACAUGACUUCCCCAACGGAUAGCUUGUCAAAGCGGUACUAGAUUAUCGUUACAAUAAAUUAAAAUGCAUUUAUGAUUUUUUGCAUUUUUGUCAUUUAUUGUGAAUAUUGUUUCUAAAUAUUUAUGCAUGUGUAUUUUGUUUUUUUUUUUCAGUAAAUGUCUUCCAUCAACCCAUUAUUAAUUAUCCUUGUUAAAAAUGAACUCACUGGCGAAAAUUAUUUAGAUUGGAAACGCAAUCUAUUUAAUAUUCUCACUGCUAAGGGAAGCAAAUAUGUGUUGACCCAGCCUUGCCCUCCUGAACCAUCGUUAUACGAUUAUAGAAAUCAGAAAGAGCCUUAUGAGAAAUGGUGCGAAGCUAACAAAAUGGCUAAGCGCUAUAUAUUGGCUUCGAUUUCUGUGGAACUGCAUAAGAAACAUCGGAGCAUGGAAACAGCCACUGAAAUUAUGGCUAGUCUUCAUCAGAUGUUUGGGCAAAAUACCCAUUUUGCCAGAGAAGCAGCAUUAAAACGUAUUACGGAUACUAAGAUGGAAGAUGGCACAAAAGUUCGUGAUCAUAUCCUCAAAAUGAUGGACUAUUUGAAUGAGGUAGAGAUUCAUGGUGUACAAAUCAAUGAUAAAUCAAAGAUUAACAUGGUGAUUGAAUCUUUACCUGAUACAUUCAAAGAGUUUAAGGUCAGCUAUAUCUUAAACAAUAAAGAUAUGACCUUAAUUGAAUUAAUGCACGAACUACAUGCUAUAGAAGAAUUUUAUCAUAGCAGAAAACUUCCUGAAAAAGAAUUCUCUUCAAGGCUUAAGUCGAAAGACAAGAAUGAGCAAGCAAGAGUUGGGAUCGGCAAACUGUCCACCAAAAGAAGUGGCAAGCCAAAAGGCAAGUGUUACAAAUGUGGACAGAAGGGUCACUGGAAGAAAGAUUGUCCUAAGAUUAUUAAAAUCAGGUAUAGGAAAUCUUUAAGCUUCCUAAUUAGUUCAGAUUUCUAUUGAUUCAUACAAUAAUGAAUUCUGAGAUAACUAAUCUUAUUUGUAAUUCAUUUAUUUGGUUUUCAGGAAACCAAGAGAUUAAGUGAAGAAAGCUUCAAAUAGCAGUUGAGGACAUGCUAGUUUAUAUCAAUUGAAAGACUAGAUCAAUUUUACAAGACUUUAGUUUUGAUAUUUGUCUUUAUUUUUCCAAAUAUUAGAGGAAUUUAAUUUCGGUGGCUUGUUUUAAUAAACAGGAGUACAUUGUUAUUUUUGGAUCCUCUGUUUAUUACUUAUUUUGGUUAUUUAUAAAGACAAUUUAUAUCAUAGAAGUACAUUGAUCUAUUCAAAGAAGAUAUAAUGAUAAAAAGUAUAUGCAUUUAUCUAAGAAAAGAAAUGUUUCUUCUAACCAAAAAUCACCUCUGAUAUUUAUGCUUAAGUCGUAUAAAUUAUAAUAAGAUUUUAAGAAAAUGAUUAAUGAUAGACUUGUUGGCCUAUUAAGAUUGAUCAUUGUAACUCUAUGAAUCUUAUUUAGAAAAGUAAUAUGACAAAGAUGCUCUUUUUGAGCUAAAAGCAUAACAUUGUAUUUGAUGAUUUAGCGCAUACAAAUGUAUACAGACUAAUCAGUUUACAUGUUAUAAGAGGUUAUGAGUAUUCUAUCAAUCUUGUUGAUGAAUAUUCAUUUUAUUUAUGUUUGUCUAAAUGCGUCAUGAUUCCAUUGCUUUUGAAAUUCAAAAGAGUACGUGGAUAAGAUAGAAGCAAUUAGACAGGAACAUAAAAGAACUUCGAUAUGAUCGAAACAAAGAAUAUCUCUAUGGAGAAUUCAAGCACUAUUUGGUUGUCAAUGAACACUAUGAUACAAUAGUGUAAUUAAAUGGAGAAACAAGAUUCUUUUGGAUAAGACAAGAUAUAUACUAAGUGGUUUAUCAUUUACCUUUUUGAUUCCAGAUACUAGUAUUUAAAACUACAAAGUUUAUUGAACUUAGUUUCAUCUAUCUCGGUGUCUACUACUCCAAGAAAUUAUGAAAAAGUCACAAACAUGGUUUGAGACACAUUCGUAUUUGGAGUUUACUAGUAUUUCUACUAGAAUAAAAGAUAGAGAAGAUGGAUUCGUGUUUAGAAGCUUGCAUGUUUUAGGUAUCUUAAAAGAAUAAGAGAAAGUCUGAAUUAUAGUUCUCAAGAUAGGAAUGUAUUUAUAGAAUUAUUUUUUACUUUCUUUGAGGAAGACUAUAUAAUGACUUAUAACCUAAGAGUAAGGUAAAACUAGAGAAAUAAAAGAGAUCAGGUUGAUGCUCAGCUUUCAACAUCUGUUAUAGAACAGGAAGAACAGCAACAACCAGCUGAUCAGCACAAGAUUAUCCUUGAACAACUAUCAUUUUUAGAACCUCGUCGUAGUGGGAGGGUAACUAGGUUACCUGCGAGAUACAUGUUUUUGGGAGAAACCUAUAUGGCUAUCUCAGAUGAACAUGUACAAGAUCCCACUAGUUACAACGAAGCUUUAAUAGAUAAAGAUAUUGAAUUUUGGAAAAAGGCCAUGAAUCAAGAAAUGGAAUCUAUGUAUUCCAAUAAAGUCUGGGAACUUGUAGAGGCACCAAAUGGGGUAAAACCUAUAGGGUGCAAGUAGAUCUACAAAAGAAAAAGAGGAGUAGACGGAAGGGUGGAAACAUUUAAAGCAAGAUUAGUAGCCGAAGGGUUUACUCAGAAAGAAGGAAUCGAUUAUGAGCAAACCUUUUCUUCGGUUGCUAUGCUUAAAUCCAUCAGGAUUAUACUCUCCAUUGCUGCAGUGCUAGAUUAUGAAAUUUGGCAAAUGGAUGUCAAGACUGCCUUUCUUAACGGGCAUCUUGAAGAAAACAUCUACAUGCAGCAACCAGAUGGAUUUAUACAAAAAGGCCAAGAACACAUGGUAUGUAAGUUGCAGAGAUCCAUUUAUGGAUUGAAGCAAGCAUCCCGGUCAUGGAACAUCAUAUUUGAUCAAGCGAUUAAAUCGCUUGGAUUCAUUAGAGCGUUGAUGAACCAUGUGUGUACAAGAAAAUUCAGGGAAAUUUUGUAGCCUUCCUAGUUCUUUGUGUAGAUAAUAUUCUCCUGAUUGGAAACGAUAUAGGAGUAUUGACUACAAUAAAGAUUUGGUUAGCAAAACAAUUUGAUAUGAAAGACCUGUGAGAGACAAGUUAUAUUCUUGGUAUCAAGUUACUACGAGACCAGAAGAAUAAAACUUUAGCCUUGUCUCAAGCGGUCUAUAUCGAUAAGAUAUUGGCUAGAUUUAGCAUGGAAAAUUCCAAGAUUGGUUUAUUACCAUUCAGACAUGGAAUUACAUUCUCUAAGGAUCAAUCACCUAAAACAUUGUGCAGAAGCUGUGGGAAGUCUCAUGUAUGCCAUGUUUUGCACUAGGCCAGACAUCUAUUUUGCGGUAAGGAUGGUUAGCAGAUAUCAAUUUAAUCCUGAACCUCAAUACUGGACUGCAGUCAAGCAUAUUAUAAAGUAUCUGAAAAGAACUAAAAAUUAUAUGCUUAUGUAUUUUGGUGAUGAACUCUUUCCAGUGAGUUAUACUGAUUCUGACUUUAUGUCAGAUAGGGAUUCCAGAAAAUCUACUUCUGGCUAUGUGUUUGCAUUGGGAAGUGGAGCUAUUAGUUGGAGGAGUGUGAAACAAUCUUGUAUCGCAGACUCCACAACUGAAGCUGAAAAUGUGGCUGCAUCCGAAGCUGCAAAAGAAGCUGUAUGGCUCCGCAAGUUCCUACAAGAUCUUGAGGUGGUACCUGCUGUUACUGCACCCCUUAAACUAUUUUACGAUAAUGGUGGUGCAGUAGCUCAAUCUAAGGAACCAAGGAACCACAAGAAACAAAACAUAUUGAGAGGAAGUAUAAUCUCAUAAGGGAAUAGUAUAGAAAGGUUAUAUGACAGUACCCCAAAUGGCAUUAGAUGCUAAAUGGCAGAUCUUAUUACAAUGGCCAUUAGUGGGAAACCUUUAUAACCUGCACUUAGAGCCCUAGAGCAUGUGCAAUAUGCCAAAUAUGCUUUGAGAGCUAGUGGGAGAUUGUUGGGAAAAUAUGCUCUUUAAAAGCAUAUGUGUUUAUUUUAUUGUAAUAAACAAUUUUUCUGAUUAAUAAAAUAAAAGAGGUAUUUUAUUCAAAUAUCUUAAUUGCAUUAAUAUUUGUAUUAAAGUCCAUUUAAUCAUAUUAUAUGUAUUUAUGUGAUCACCAUGUGGAUUCACAGAAGACAUAAAUACAAGUUAUCUUAUGAUUAAAUAAAUUUAGUUCGCAGUUGAUAAAUAAAGUUGGGCACUUUAUUUAGGUAUAGACUGUAAUAAAUUCAUUGAAUGAUUUGUCUUAAUCAUGUAUGAAUUUAUUGAUGUAGUACGACUACAUUGAACAGGAUCACAUAUGAGAUUUAAUUAACUUUGUAAUAACUGUCAGACAUAUUAAAUCUCAUAGGCAUUGAUUUUACUGUAAUCUUAAUCUUGAGUUAAUUAUGAUUUCAUGAUUGUAAUUGUUAUUCCAUUUGAGUUACCAAUGGGCACGACACAUCCUUGUGGUCAAUAUUACCCGGUAUCUUGGUGGGAGCAAUUAUGAGUAUUGGAGUUAUGGAUUAACAAUAUAGAAUUUGUACAACACAUCUCUUGAUGGGUUUUCGGCACUUGAUCAUAUAAUUCUCUGGCCAGAGUGUGUCAACAUAUUUAGUAUGUUGAAAAUGAUCAUUAGAGAAAACCAGUAAGGAUCAAGGAAUAAGAUGUUAUUAAAUUGAUUGGACAGUUGAGAUAUCAAUUUAAUUAACGAUGUGGUACAAAGGAUUGUGCAGUAAAGAAAUCAAUGUGGCUUGGGACAAGUUAUUAUUCGAGCAUACAAUUAUGGAAGUCAGUUCCAAUCUUUUAGUGGAGUAGAUUUGGAAUUAAAUAAUUAGGCUAGUUUAAUUAUAGGCCUAAUUAUUGUAGCCACUAUUGUAUGUUCCCAAAUGAUCCCUGGGUUAGCUCAUUUAAUUGACUGCACCACUACUGGACUAAUAAGUAACAUAACUAGCUAUUUGGGUCAAAAGCCUAAAUAUAUCAUUUAGUGGGAGGCUCCAUUUAAUUAGCUUUUGUGUAAGGGGCCUUAUGUUAUUUUACAAGGUGGGUCCCCUAUUGAAAAAGCAAAUAUCGUGGGUUUUAUUUUUUGGGAUUAUUUGGAGCCUAGGGUUUUCACUAAAGGGUGAUAUAAAAGGCUUAUUUUCUCUAUAAAAAAAAAAACCACUUUAUACAGAUCAGAGAAUAAGAUUUUUCUCUCUAUUAUUGAGAGAAAAAUUUUCUCGUGCUAGUUGCUUUGGUAGUGAUAAAGGCGCCCACACGUCAAGUGCAGAUCGAACCUGAGUCAUAACCUGGAAGAUCAUUGGUGACAGUUUGUGAUCUAACAAGCGUGGUGGUGACGGAUCGUGAUCUAAUAGGAGUAGUGGUGGUGGAUCGUGAUCUAGGAGCCUAAAUCACUUCAGCUGAAAAAGCCAACUCAGAUUUUCAAGGUACGAUUUCUAGAAUACAAAUUCUUAUAUACUAUAUGAGAGCGAUCUUCAAAAGGUUUUAUAAAAAUUUUAAAAACCUAAUUUUUCCCUAACAUACAGUUCUUUCUUCAUUCAUAUAUAUGACGCUUAAUUACCUUUGUUAUCUCUUUUGGCAUUUCUUACUUGACUAUAAACUUAGUUAUAGCAUUCUGUGAUCUAGAGAUUAAGGGCCAGAACUUGAUGGUGCCAUGUUAGACUAGUGUAUGAGGUUUGUUCAUGCAUUAAUAAUUGAUCUUGAUGUAGGCCAUUUUUUUUUUUGUAAAAGCUAAAGAAAGUUAAGUUUUAGAAGACCAUUACUUCUUUAAACCUAGUAAGCUUAUAAGUUUCUCUUCUUUUGGGUUUUGUAGAAUUAUUCAUUUUCUCCUUAAUUCCCUUUAUCAUGCCCUGCCAUAACUCAAAAAUUAUCUGCUAUGACAGAGCCUGAUGGAUAUUAUUGCUUAAAAAUAAUACUACUACUAAGAAUAAUUGAUAGAUGAUCAAUCACCAUUGCUUAAUCAAGAAGUAACACGAGAACGUCAAGAUUGAGUAAAAAGAAAAAGAUUAAACACAACAAAAUGAUAAAUUUCAAAAAGGUCACAACAGAACAAAACAUAAGAAGGAACAUUAAUUGACUUGACUCUUCUUAAAAUGAGUGUAUCUUGAAUGAAAAAAAGAAUCGUAUGUCAUCUAAACAAAAAUCCUACAGUUACUAAACAUAUAAAGAGUCCAUACAAUCACUCUUAACGCAAGUUAUUUACACUAGAAUGCUUUGACUUUCAUUGACCAGAGCUGAACUUGAUCAAAUUAGGGAGUCAGAGAGUUUCGAAUAUUGACUCAUUAUAUUGUAAAGUCCUUGAGUAUUUCUAUUGGUCUGCGUCUUUUUCUCUUAUAUAGGAAGCUUUGCUUUUGAUUGUUAAAAUUAAUUCGAUGGUUUUGCAGUGAUGACAAUUUCAUUUCCUCAAUAUCAUACUCAAAAGUUUUUGAAUAUCUCAUCCCGACAUUGGUUGCUGUUAUGAGUGUGAAUGUGCAAGGCACAACUAGGCCGUUGAUAGAAACUCAUAGAGUAAGCUUAUGUGUUUCUCUGGUGGCCAUAAUUAUCCACUACAUUGCAUUUGUUGUCGAUAACAUGCCUCAACACUACCAAGCAAAAUCUCCACACCUAUGGGGCCUCAUCGCAGUUAUUUUUUUAUCUUUUUCAGUAGUGUCGUUGGUCGCCACAUUUUUCACACAGUCGGUUGCCGAAAUCAUUUGCUAUGUUGCAUUGAGCUGCACUGCUAUUAUCAUAGUUGUGUACCAAUAUGGCACAAAGCUUAUGGAUGCUUGUCAUUGGCUUUACCACGAAAUUUUGAGGCCAUUUUUUUGCAACAUCUUGAAUUGGUUUCAAGCCCAUAAUAACAACUUCUCUUCAACGGAACAACAACAACGGCCGUUAGUGUAAUUGAAGCAGUUUAAUCUUUAUUUUAAAAUUUCAUCCAAGACUUUUUACUUACAGAUUUCACUUAUGUUUCCAGAUUUCAAUAGAUCAAAAAAUAUACUCAAAAUGUAUAGUUUUUCAUUCAAUAAUAUAUAUGUUAUUAUUGACUUUUAUUCACAUAAAAAAUAUUUUUAUUUUUAUUUUUAUUUAUAUGAUUUAUUUAAUCUAGAAUGGAUAUGAAUAAAUAUGCAUUUGAAAUGUUAGGAGUUAUUAGCUAUUAUAAAAAUAAUAGGGAGUAAGUAGAUACAAUCUUUCAAAAGAAAAUUUUAAUAUUUAUUAUUGGGAUAUUAUUAUUUUCUUACCAAAAUUUUUCUGACAUAUCAAGUCAGUACCAUGCUUUAGUAAAAACUGCAUUUUACCACCAAACGUUUAAUUUGUUAUCACUUUAAUAUCUUUCCAUUAAAAAUAAGUUAAUAUUUAACGGAAUAUGAGUUAAAAGAUGAUUUUGUCCAUGGAGCAUUAAAGACGAUUUUGGCCAUGGAAAAGAAAGAAAUAACAAAAAAGAAAACUACAAAAUUAGUCUAGCAAGUAUCCAUUAAUUAAAAAUAUCUCGCAUAAGAUUUUUUGAGAAUUAAGAUGGUAAUACAAAUGAAAAAAGAAUCUGGCAAUGACAAACUUACACACAAGUAUUAAAAAGACAGAAACAUAUUAAAUACUUCUGCUAGAUAUUAUAACAAACUAAACUCCAAUCUUUAAAGCCACACCUACGUAAAAGGCUAAAGAGAGAACGCCAUAUAAACAGAUUCAGAUCAAACAAACCUAUGAAGCGAAAAAAGAAAAGAAAAGAAAAACAAAAACAAACAGGGCCACAUUGGGUUGAUUUUAGAGAAUCAGCCAGGAAUAAUAGAGCAAAUACAAUCAAGUUGUUUGUUAGAGUCCAUCUCCAUAGGCACAUUCCCGUUAUUGUUGUUAUUAGCCUCCUUCUCUCUGUCAUCUCUCAGCCUCUUCACCGGCAAAUAACUAGCAGUAACAGACCCAAUUUCCACCAUAGCAUAUAUUAUUAUUUAUUAUUCUCUCUGCUUUCAAACCCCUAAAAACCAACAACCACUUCACUUUUAUUAAAAACUAAUUGCCGAGUCAGCUCUUGAGAGUCAAGAGCCACCACGCAAACACAAUCUUGGUCCCUCUUUGCUGUAUAUGUAGAAAAAAAAGCAAGCAGCAAGUGGUGGGAGAAUAUAUAUAAUAGUUACAAAUCUUUUAUCAAAAAAAAAAAAAAAGAGAAAAGAAAAGUUACAAAUUUGGCUUUGCAAAGAUGCGGCUCCUGUGUGUGUUUGUAUUUUGUUUGUUGAUAUUUGUGCUUGGUUGACCGUGAGAGAGAGAGGGGUCGUGAGAGAGAAAGAGAUCGGAGAUGGAGGGUUACGAUUUUUUUACUUUUUUUAAUUAUUUACCAGGCAUAUGUUGCAAGACUAAAUGUUUAUUUUACAAAUUACCAGCAUUUUGACUUUAGCCGGAAAUUUAGUAAAUGUCGUUGUGCAUUAGUAAAUUUUUAACCACAUUAAUAGAAUGGUGGUAAAAUAAUAACAAAUUAAAUAUUUGAUAGUAAAAUAUAAUUUCUAUCAAAAUAUAAUACUAACUUGAUAUGUCAAAAAAAUUUUAGUAGAAAAAUAAUAGUAUUUCUUUUUUAUUUGAUAUUUUUUAAGAUGGUUAAAUUUAUUUACUUAAAACUCUUAAAUUCUGUUAGUAAAUAUAUCCACCGCAAUCUCAUUUAAAAAAAAAAAGUUGAAUCACCAAUAAAAUUGGAAAAUGUAUCAUGACGUUAUUAAUGUCAAAAACUUUUGACUCUACUAACGUACUGAACUAAUUAUACAUCUAAAUGUAAAGAAAUUAGCAAAGAAUAAAAAAUAUUUUGAAAUUUCAGAAUACUUGAAAUUUGGAAAAAAAAAAAAAAAAAGCCAAAUUUCAGUAGCUCUCGGCCCCGCACUUUCGGGGUAAAAAAUUAAAAUAAAAUAAAACAUGUCAGCCUUCUCUCUCACUAUCAGUCGAAGAAGCAUUCUCACAAUCAUUUGAAAUUCUAUAAUCUCAGUUUCAAUGAAGACGAAGAGGCUUGGUUUAAAUCUCGGCUUUCAUCAUGCAAUUUCAGGUUUAGUUUCAGUUAAUCUGACCAAAUUUGAUGGAUUUGUUCCCUAAUUUCAUGAAUGUCAGCUCUCACAUUCAUUCGAUCGAAGAAGCUUUCACUUUCGUUUGAAAUUUUUGAUCUCGAUCGGUUUCACUGCAAAAGAAGAGGUUUGGUUUUAAUCUCGCUUUUAUUCAAGAAUUUCAUGUUUGUAUGCGUUUAAUCGCACCAAAGUUGAUGUGUUUCUCCUCUAAUUUAUCGUUAGGGAUCUAAUUUAUGUCUCUUGAUUUAAAAAUUUAGGUUUGGGCUUUAAUUAUUUGAUUAUUAAUUUGAUAUGAAUGAAUUUAGAUAAGAAGAAGUAGGAGUCAAAGAAGUAGAAGUCGAAGAAGUUAAGAAAGGAAGGAAGAGUUCUUUUGCUGAAAAUCCGUUUCCCAUUAUCUAGAUGCUUUUGGCUAUUUAUAGCCUUACAAACGUGACAGAUAAUGUAGCAAAACAACUGCAACAACAAGGCAAAAUAAUUGGAAACAAACAUGUAACCAUGCUACCACUUAUGCUUAAGUUAAGCAGCCUAUUUGUCUAACUACCAAACUAAGUUGACUAAGUCUACCGUCUUGACCAUCUCAACAAAUAUGACUAUAUCUGCUUUAUCAUCAAUGCCGCUUUUGGCUACCCACGAACAUAUUGCAUGCAUGCAUAAUUUGCACGUAUCAUUUCCCCCCCUCUUCAAGGAUCCUUGUCCACAAGGUUGAAGUGCCCCAUUUACUUAACCAGUAUAUGGUGAUGUGAAUGGUGGAGGAUCUUCAAUCAUGAACAGCUGUGGCCUUUGGCAGUGAUGACCAGGAAUGAAUUUCUCGUCACAAAAAUAACAUAGCCCUUUUUCACGUCGAGCCCGUGCUUCUUGGUUAGUCAACCGCCGGAUAGGAGGAGGAGUGUUGGCAUUGGCUGUUUGGUUUGCCUUAUGAGGGGGGCCCAAGAUCCCAGCAGAACUAUUUGAGAUUGGUGGUUGCAUCACGGAAAUAGGUGGUGGUUGAGAAAAGUGUUUGGUGCCGCGGAAGAGAGAAUUUCGCUCCUCAAUUAGUCUUGCCACACCAAUGGCGUUAGCCAAGGUACGAGGUUGUUUAAUCUUGACAUCGAGUCGUAUUUCAUCCUGAAGACCUGCGAUGAAACAACCAAUUAAAAAUGUUUCAGGUAAACCAUCGACUUGAUGAGAAAGCUUUUCAAAAACUUCCUGAUACUCAGCCACUGAGGAAAUUUGUUUUAAGCGUGUUAAAGCUUCAGAAGGAUCCUCAUAAUCCGUUGGACCAAAAUGGAGUAAUAUGGCUUUGGUAAAUUCAGUCCAAGUUUGUGGUCCUUUGAAUUUGGUUAGCCAGCGAUGCCAUUGGAGUGCUAUUCCUUCGAGAUGGAAAGAGGCCAAUUUGACUUGCUGUUCUGAAGCAAUGCUUUGGAAAUCAAAGUAUUGUUCAGCUUUGUAAAUCCAUCUGAUAGGGUCAUCACCGCUAAACUGUGGAAAAGAAAGUUUGAGCUGGGCAUGGGACCGAUCUGGUUUGGAGGUGGAAAGUGAGGUUGGCUGGUGUGAAGGGAUGUGAGUUGUGGCAAAUGGGUUGAUCUCCCUUUCCUGGGAAGUGUGUUGGACACGCAAAGAUUGAAGUUCAGUAAGAAUUGUUUGAAGGGUGGCGUGAAUUUGGUCAAAAUUAGACUCAUGUCUAGCAAGGAUUUCUUGAACCUCUUCACGAAAUUCAGCAUUGGAUUUAUUGCGUGUGGCCAUGGAUCAUUGGAUGCUCUGAUACCACUGAUAUGAAUGAAUUUAGAUAAGAAGAAGUAGGAGUCAAAGAAGUAGAAGUCAAAGAAGUUAAGAAAGGAAGGAAGAGUUCUUUUGCUGAAAAUCUGUUUCCCAUUAUCUAGAUGCUUUUGGCUAUUUAUAGCCUUACAAACGUGACAGAUAAUGUAGCAAAACAACUGCAACAACAAGGCAAAAUAAUCGGAAACAAACAUGUAACCAUGCUACCACUUAUGCUUAAGUUAAGCAGCCUAUUUGUCUAACUACCAAACUAAGUUGACUAAGUCUACCAUCUUGACCAUCUCAACAAAUAUGACUAUAUCUGCUUUAUCAUCAAUGCCGCUUUUGGCUACCCACGAACAUAUUGCAUGCAUGCAUAAUUUGCACGUAUCAUAAUUUUGUAGCGUUUGGAUACUGUUGAAGAGAGUGAAUUAAUCCACAUUAAAUAUGUAUUGGAACUAUUAGGCUGAAACCAGAUGGCUUAUGUUUACUAAGCAAUACAAGAAUUGAGUUAUAAUUAGGUCUGCUUAUGUUUUGCUGAAACUAGAUGGGUUCUGUUUACUAACUUAUCUGUAUUAUUAUCUUUUUUAAGUCAUUCUUUAAGCUAAAUUAGGGUAUUAGAAACAGAG
rnacentral:lncRNA from 1 species